AACGAACGUUGGCGGUAGGCUUAACACAUGCAAGUCGAACGAGAAGCAUCCUUCGGGAUGUGGAAAGUGGCGAACGGGUGAGUAAUACUUGGGAAUCUGCCCUGAAGUGGGGGAUAACAGUUGGAAACGACUGCUAAUACCGCAUAAUCCAUAUUGGGAAAGCUUUAGUGCUUUAGGAUGAGCCCAAGCCUGAUUAGCUUGUUGGUGAGGUAACGGCUCACCAAGGCGACGAUCAGUAGCUGGUUUGAGAGGAUGAUCAGCCACACUGGGACUGAGACACGGCCCAGACUCCUACGGGAGGCAGCAGUGGGGAAUAUUGGACAAUGGAACCAAAAGUCUGAUCCAGCAAUUCUGUGUGCACGAUGAAGGUUUUCGGAUCGUAAAGUG
rnacentral:rRNA from 1 species